rnacentral:rRNA from 1 species
GCUUAGCCUUAAAAUAUUGACCCACACCAAAACCGCCCGGAAAUUACGAGCUCAAGCUUAAAACCCAAAGGACUUGACGGUGUCCCAUCCACCUAGAGGAGCCUGUUCUAUAAUCGAUACUCCCCGAUCAACCCCACCACCUCUUGAAUAAUCAGCCUGUAUACCUCCGUCGCAAGCUCACCAUGUGAACGUAUAAAGUGAGCCUAAAGGUUAAAAACCCAAACGUCAGGUCAAGGUGCAGCCAACGAGGCGGGAAGUAAUGGGCUACAAUCUCUACCCUAGAACACACAGAAAACUGCAUGCAAUACAGUAAUUGAAGGCGGAUUUAGAAGUAAAAAGAAAAUAGAGAGUUCUUUUUAAUAAGGCACUGGGACGCGUACACACCGCCCGUCACCCUCUUCAACCCACUCCCGUAUUAAUACACCCCCAUAGAAGAGGCAAGUCGUAACAUGGUAGGCGUACUGGAAAGUGUGCCUGGAUUAACAAAAUGUAGCUUAAUAAAAGUAUCCUGCUUACACCAAGAACAUGUUAGUUAUCUACUAACCAUUUUGAGCCCAAAACCUAGCCCUAAUCAACUGAAUACCAAAACUACAUUAAUAAUAGACAGUAAAACAUUUUAUCAACUUAGUAAAGGCGAUUAAAAAGCACCUAGGAGCUACAACUAU